rnacentral:sRNA from 1 species
AACCAGGAGGACUUCUAUAGAAAUCUAGCCAAGGAUGAUGAGGAGGAGGCUGGUCCCUGGUGUUAAACCGUGGGUCCAGACAUCCGGUGGCAGACCUGUGGUAUUCCUUUGUGCUAAACUGCAAGAAAAAGGCAAACGGAAUGAAUUACUAUGGGAAAACCAAUGUGACCAAAUCAGGGAGUCCAUGCAACUAUGGGGCAGAUACCUCCCAAAAAGCCACACCUACGCGUAUUUGAAGGACCAGUUCAACUACUGUAAAAACCCAUUUGGUGAUGACAAAAAGCCAUGGUGUUAUUCCGGUACAACCUGGGAUUACUGUGACAUACCGAUGUGCUAUUGA